GGCACUGUGGCGGAGUGGUUAACGCGACAGAUUAGAACCAAAAUGCUUCCAAACGAUUCAUCUGUUCCACUUGUUGGGCGCAUGUUCGAAUCAUGCCAGUGUCG